rfam:Nelumbo nucifera unplaced genomic scaffold scaffold00001, whole genome shotgun sequence
GGAGAUGUAGUUCAAAUGAUAGAGCGCUCGCUUAGCAUGCGAGAGGUACUGUGAUUGAUGCCCCGCAUCUCCA